AAAAAGCUCGUAGUUGGACUUUGGGACGGGUCGGUCGGUCCGCCUCGCGGUGUGCACUGUCACGACCCGGGUCUGAUGAGCUAACUGGCCAAUAACUCCAUUUUGGUCCUUGCAACCACGGACCAAAAUGCUUAAGCGGGAGGUAACGUAGUACACUCAUCAAGCCCUUAUAAGCUAAUCACACACAUUCCCCACUUCCGAUGUGGGACUAAUGGGAUAUUACAUUAUCCCCAACUCAAUUAGCUUGACGUCCUCGUCAAGGCCAGACAUAACCCAGAUCGAACCCUAGCAUAGUGCAUGUGAGGUUUAACUCAGUGGUGGCUCCACGCCGUGAUGAGUUCUCUGACUCCAUCCACGGGUAGCCCUUUCCUACUCGAGCCCUCUCACCCUGCCCAAAUGCUAGGUCGGCUCUGAUACCAAAUGUCACGACCCGGGUCUGAUGAGCUAACUGGCCAAUAACUCCAUUUUGGUCCUUGUAACCACGGACCAAAAUGCUUAAGCGGGAGGUAACGUAGUACACUCAUCAAGCCCUUAUAAGCUAAUCACACACAUUCCCCACUUCCGAUGUGGGACUAAUGGGAUAUUACAUGCACCGGUCGUCCCAUCCCUUCUGUCGGCGAUGCGUGCCUGGCCUUAACUGGCCGGGUCGUGCCUCCGGCGUUGUUACUUUGAAGAAAUUAGAGUGCUCAAUGCAAUCCCACGCUCUGGAUGGAUACAUUAGCCAGGGAGAACAUCACAGGAUUUCGGUCCUAUUGUGUUGGCCUUCGGGAUCGGAGUAAUGAUUAAGAGGGACAGUCGGGGGCAUUCAUAUUUCAUAGUCAGAGGGGAAAUUCUUGGAUUUAUGAAAGACGAACCACUGCGAAAGCAUUUGCCAAGGAUGUUUUCAUUAAUCAAGAACGAAAGUUGGGGGCUCGAAGAUGAUCAGAUACUAUCCUAGUUUCAACCAUAAACGAUGCCGACCAGGGAUCGGCGGAUGUUGCUCUUAGGACUCCGCCGGCACCUUAUGAGAAAUCAAAGUCUUUGGGUUCUAGGGGGAGUAUGGUCGCAAGGCUGAAACUUAAAGGAAUUGACAGAAGGGCACCACAAGGAGUGGAGCCUGCAGCUUAAUUUGACUCAACACGGGGAAACUUACCAGGUCCAGACAUAGCAAGGAUUGACAGACUGAGAGCUCUUUCUUGAUUCUAUGGGUGGUGGUGCAUGGCCUUUCUUAGUUGGUGGAGCAAUUUGUCCGGUUAAUUCCGAUAAUGAACGAGACCUCGACCUGCUAACUAGCUACGCUGAGGCAUCCCUCCGCCGCCCAGCCUUCAGAGGGACUAUGGCCGUUUAGGCCACGGAAGUUUGAGGCAAUAACAGGUCUGUGAUGCCCUUAGAUGUUCUCUCGGGCGCCGCAGCGCCACUGUCGAUGUAUUCAACGAGUCUAUAGCCUUAGCCGACGGGCCCGGGUAAUCUUUGAAAAUUUCAUCGUGAUGGGGAUAGAUCAUUGCAAUUGUUGGUCUUCAACGAGGAAUUCCUAGUAAGCCGAAGUCAUCACCGCAUUGACUACGCCCCUGCCCUUUGUACACACCCGUCGCUCCCUACCGAUUGAAUGGUCCGGUGAAGUGUUCGGAUCGAGGCGACGGGCGGUUCGCCGUCUUGACGUCGUCGCGAAAGUCCCCCCCGAACCUCAUCAUUUAGAGGAAGGAGAAGUCAUAACAAGGUUUCCGUGAGGGUGAACCUGCGGAAG
rnacentral:rRNA from 1 species